rnacentral:rRNA from 1 species
UGGGGAAUUUUGCACAAUGGGGGAAACCCUGAUGCAGCGACGCCGCGUGAUUUAGAAGGCCUUCGGGUUGUAAAAAUCUUUUCUAUGGGAAGAAAAUGACAGUACCAUAGGAAUAAGGACCGGCUAAUUACGUGCCAGCAGCCGCGGUAAUACGUAAGGUCCGAGCGUUGUCCGGAAUCAUUGGGCGUAAAGGGUACGUAGGCGGGUAAGCAAGUUAGAAGUGAAAUCCUAUAGCUCAACUAUAGUAAGCUUUUAAAACUGCUCAUCUUGGGGUAUGGAAGGGAGAGUGGAAUUCCUAGUGUAGCGGUGAAAUGCGCAGAUAUUAGGAGGAGUACCGGUGGCGAAGGCGACUUUCUGGCCAUAACCUGACGCUGAGGUACGAAAGCGUGGGUAGCAAACAGG